rnacentral:rRNA from 1 species
UACAGAGGGGGGCAAGCGUUUAUUCGGAAUUAUUGGGCGUAAAGGGCGCGUAGGCGGCCAUUCAAGUGACGGGUGAAAGCCCUCGGCUUAACCGAGGAACUGCCUGUCAGACUGGAUGGCUUGAGACCGGGAGAGGUGAGUGGAAUUCCCAGUGUAGCGGUGAAAUGCGUAGAUAUUGGGAGGAACACCAGUGGCGAAGGCGGCUCACUGGACCGGAACUGACGCUGAGGCGCGAAAGCGUGGGGAGCAAACAGG